rnacentral:tRNA from 1 species
CCCUUCGUAGCUCAAUGGAUAGAGCAACUCCGUCCUAAGGAGAAGAUGUAGGUUCGACUCCCGCCGAAGGGA